rnacentral:rRNA from 1 species
UACGAGAGGCCCAAACGUUAAUCGGAAUUACUGGGCGUAAAGCGUGCGCAGGCGGUUUUGUAAGCCAGAUGUGAAAUCCCCGGGCUUAACCUGGGAAUGGCAUUUGGGACUGCAAGGCUUGAGUUUGGCAGAGGAGACUGGAAUUCCUGGUGUAGCAGUGAAAUGCGUAGAUAUCAGGAGGAAUACCGAUGGCGAAGGCAGGUCUCUGGGCUGAAACUGACGCUCAUGCACGAAAGCGUGGGGAGCAAACAGG